rnacentral:lncRNA from 1 species
CCUUCUUUCUUUUACUUCCACGGAUCUCACCGACUUCCUUCUUUGUAGCAUUCUCAUUUUGGGGGCCAUAUCCUAAGAAGAGGGUGGAUAAUGGUCAAGAGGGUGGAGAAAGAUGCGGAUUGAAGUGAAACUAAGUGGAGAAGAUGAUUUUUGAAAAGUUUCUUACGAAUUUGAGGGUUAGGGUUUGGAAUUUGGGAAAAUCAGAAAAAUGAGCUGUAAGAGCAGUAAAUUUGGGGAGAGU